UAGAGCACAGUAGAAAGUGCAAAGCAUUUCCUAGAGAAAUGUACACCAGGAAAAUGGAACAUCCAGUAUAACCAUCUUAGCCUCAAGACCCCUGUUCCAAGUGACAUUGAAAUAUCACGUUCUUGCACAGCAAAGCCCAUUGGUUACCUGGCUAAAGAAAUUGGCUUGCUCUCUGAAGAAGUGGAAAUGUAUGGUCAGACAAAAGCCAAGGUUCUGCUGUCUACCUUAGAACUCCUGAAACACCAGCCUGAUGGAAAAUAUGUGGUCGUAACGGGAAUAACCCCUACACCUCUGGGAGAAGGAAAGAGUACAACCACACUAGGGCUGGUUCAAGCUCUGGGAGCACAUCUUCACCAGAAUGUUUUUGCUUGUGUUUGACAACCAUCUCAGGGCCCAACCUUUGGAAUAAAAGGUGGAGCUGCAGGAGGGGGCUAUUCUCAGGUUGUUCCAAUGGAAGAGUUCAACCUCCAUCUCACUGGUGACAUCCAUGCCAUUACUGCAGCUAAUAAUUUGGUUGCUGCUGCUAUCGAUGCCCACAUAUUCCACGAACUGACACAGACAGACAAGGCUCUCUUUAAUUGUUUGGUGCCUUCAGUCAAUGGAGUGAGGAAGUUCUCAGAUAUUCAAAUCCGUAGGCUGAAG